GGUCUCUGCGCCCAAGCUACAGGGAGUACGGACAGUCUGUCCUGCUCCCCAGCGGCAGAGUAUUCUACCAGGAGGGGAGAGUCUCGUUCCCCCUCCCCAGCGGCAGCCUAGCCCACCAAGGGGAGAUGAUAAGCCCCACACCGGUGCAGAUGGGACCAUGGUUUCUGUGCCCAAACCACAGGGUGUAGGGACAGUCGGUCCUGUCCCCCUGCAGCAGGGCUGUUUAUCCAAAGGG